UACGGAGGGUGCGAGCGUUGCUCGGAAUCACUGGGCGUAAAGCGCACGUAGGCGGAUUGUUAAGUCAGGGGUGAAAUCCUGGAGCUCAACUCCAGAACUGCCUUUGAUACUGGCGAUCUCGAGUCCGGGAGAGGUGAGUGGAACUGCGAGUGUAGAGGUGAAAUUCGUAGAUAUUCGCAAGAACACCAGUGGCGAAGGCGGCUCACUGGCCCGGUACUGACGCUGAGGUGCGAAAGCGUGGGGAGCAAACAGGG
rnacentral:rRNA from 1 species